UUUAAUCGUAUCCACAAAGAAUACAAAUGGAUCCACCUCAUCAAUAGGUGAUUGUAACUCUUCAUCAUCACUGAAGUCAUCAUCUGAGUCAUCGUCAUCCUCAUCAUGCGGACGGAAAGCCCUUGCCUGAAAUUCCAAACGACAGAUAAUGAUCAGAUGACAACUUUCCAUCCAUGGAACAUCAACUGCUGGAUCGUGAGAGAUAAUGAUCAAAUACCAUUACCAUUUCAUCAUUCAUCGGAUCCUAAAAAUGGAACAUUCCCCAUAUUUUGGGAAUACUGUUACCAUUUUAAGGGAGUGGCCAAACCUCUUAAUCCUAUGUAUGUAUUGCAAAGUUUUUGCGUUCCAUUUUAGGAUUCAACAAAUGAUGAAAUUGGCAUUUCAUAAAUAUCUGCUCAUUUAAUACCUUGUUUCCAAAUUAAAACUACCUUGGGAAAAAAUUAUCAAUAACUACGCACCUGUGCAGCUAACUUUUGAAGUCUGAUGCUGUCAGCUUCAUCUCCAUCCUCAGCAUCAACACCCAUUUCCUUGUCAGAACCAUCACCAUCAUCAUCCUCAUCAUCCGUUUGGAAGCCAUCCAUAUCAUCAUCAUCUUCGGCCUCUUCAUCCUUCGCAGCUUCUGUAAAAUUUUACACAAGUAUCCCAAUACAUAAAUAAACAGUAAAUAUAAUCACACAAAUAGUAAGGUACAAGGAUUAGAGAGAGAGAGAGAGAGAGAGAGAGAGAGACCUGCAACUUGCUCCUUGUAUGCAACUAGGAGAUCAAGAGUAGCCCUGAAAACACGGCCCAACGCCUCCCCUGGUAAUUGAUCCGCAGGAAGUGCAAGUAGAGAUGUCAAUCCCAAGCAGCAAACUUUCUUAUCAUGUUCCCUUCACAAAAAUCAUUUCCAUACACAUUCUAUAGAAUUGCCAGACUGAAAACAAUUACCAUCCCCAACUGCAACCCCAACAAGCGGCAGUUCCAGUGUUGUGCCUUACCAAAGGGAUCUUGGAUACACAAAGCUCCAAGCACUUGCAAACUGGAAAAUCUCUUGCGACUGACAGGCUCUCCCUAACCAUUGAACCAACAAAAAUACUCUGAACACGGCCAGCAAUUGAUUUCUCUAAAUCAUCACCGAAUGGAUAGAAUAAGCAAUAAACUCAGAAUGCAAAUCAAAAUUUUUUAACAGCCAUAUCCAUUGAGUUCUUAAGUCAUUGAGUGGCGGCAGCAGAUGCUUUCUCCACUUUUUCCUUCUCAAUCUCUACUCUCCUCUGGUCAGCAUGCUGGGCAACUCCAUUUGCAAGUGCCUGAUACUGGAACUCCAGUGUCUGGGUAAGGUUUUGAAAUCUCAAUGGAUCUGAUGCCUGCAUGACUGUGAUUCAUGGAGCAGUAGCAUGUAAGUCAAGUAAUACAAAAAUAAAAUUCGAUUCAAAAACAUCAAAUUUCAAAGUUUGCCGUACCUUUAAUCGUAUCCACAAAGAAUACAAAUGGAUCCACCUCAUCAAUAGGUGAUUGUAACUCUUCAUCAUCACUGAAGUCAUCAUCUGAGUCAUCGUCAUCCUCAUCAUGCGGACGGAAAGCCCUUGCCUGAAAUUCCAAACGACAGAUAAUGAUCAGAUGACAACUUUCCAUCCAUGGAACAUCAACUGCUGGAUCGUGAGAGAUAAUGAUCAAAUACCAUUACCAUUUCAUCAUUCAUCGGAUCCUAAAAAUGGAACAUUCCCCAUAUUUUGGGAAUACUGUUACCAUUUUAAGGGAGUGGCCAAACCUCUUAAUCCUAUGUAUGUAUUGCAAAGUUUUUGCGUUCCAUUUUAGGAUUCAACAAAUGAUGAAAUUGGC
rnacentral:lncRNA from 1 species